GAUGAACGCUGGCGGCGUGCCUAAUACAUGCAAGUCGAGCGAACGGACGAGAAGCUUGCUUCUCUGAUGUUAGCGGCGGACGGGUGAGUAACACGUGGAUACCCUACCUAUAAGACUGGGAUCACUUCGGGAAACCGGAGCUAAUACCGGAGAAUCUUUUGAACCGCAUGGUUCAAAAGUGAAAGACGGUCUUGCUGUCACUUAUAGAGGCAUCCGCGCUGCAUUAGCUAGUUGUUAAGGUAACGGCUUACCAAGGCAACGAGGCAUAGCCGACGUGAGAGGGUGAUCGGCCACCUGGGAACUGGAACACGGUCAAUACUACUAAGGGAGGCAGCAGUAGGGAAUCGUACGCAAUGGGCGAAAGCAUGACGGAGCAACGCCGAGCGAGUGAUGAAGGUCUUCGGAUCGUAAAACUGUGUUAUUAGGGAAGAACAUAUGUGUAAGUAAAUGUGCACAGCUUGACGGUACUUAAUCAGAAAGCCACGGCUAACUACGUG
rnacentral:rRNA from 1 species